rnacentral:rRNA from 1 species
AAAUUGAAGAGUUUGAUCAUGGCUCAGAUUGAACGCUGGCGGCAGGCCUAACACAUGCAAGUCGAACGGUAACAGGAAGCAGCUUGCUGCUUUGCUGACGAGUGGCGGACGGGUGAGUAAUGUCUGGGAAACUGCCUGAUGGAGGGGGAUAACUACUGGAAACGGUGGCUAAUACCGCAUAACGUCGCAAGACCAAAGAGGGGGACCUUCGGGCCUCUUGCCAUCAGAUGUGCCAGAUGUGC